AGCAUCUAAGCGCGAAGCCAACUUCAAGAUAAGAUUUCCCACCGUAAGGGUAAGAUCCCAGGAAGACUACCUGGUUGAUAGGUCGGAGGUGUAAGUGCAGCAAUGUAUGUAGCUUACCGAUACUAAUAGAUCGAGGACUUGACCAA
rnacentral:ncRNA from 1 species